rnacentral:rRNA from 2 species
UCGAACGAUGAACUCCAGCUUGCUGGGGGGAUUAGUGGCGAACGGGUGAGUAACACGUGAGUAACCUGCCCUUGACUCUGGGAUAAGCGCUGGAAACGGCGUCUAAUACCGGAUACGAGCUUCAGCCGCAUGGCUAGGAGUUGGAAAGAAUUUCGGUCAAGGAUGGACUCGCGGCCUAUCAGCUAGUUGGUGAGGUAAUGGCUCACCAAGGCGACGACGGGUAGCCGGCCUGAGAGGGUGACCGGCCACACUGGGACUGAGACACGGCCCAGACUCCUACGGGAGGCAGCAGUGGGGAAUAUUGCACAAUGGGCGAAAGCCUGAUGCAGCAACGCCGCGUGAGGGAUGACGGCCUUCGGGUUGUAAACCUCUUUUAGUAGGGAAGAAGCGAAAGUGACGGUACCUGCAGAAAAAGCACCGGCUAACUACGUGCCAGCAGCCGCGGUAAUACGUAGGGUGCAAGCGUUGUCCGGAAUUAUUGGGCGUAAAGAGCUCGUAGGCGGUUUGUCGCGUCUGCUGUGAAAUCUGGGGGCUCAACCCCCAGCCUGCAGUGGGUACGGGCAGACUAGAGUGCGGUAGGGGAGAUUGGAAUUCCUGGUGUAGCGGUGGAAUGCGCAGAUAUCAGGAGGAACACCGAUGGCGAAGGCAGAUCUCUGGGCCGUAACUGACGCUGAGGAGCGAAAGCGUGGGGAGCGAACAGGAUUAGAUACCCUGGUAGUCCACGCCGUAAACGUUGGGAACUAGAUGUGGGGACCAUUCCACGGUCUCCGUGUCGCAGCUAACGCAUUAAGUUCCCCGCCU